rnacentral:rRNA from 1 species
UACGUAGGGUGCAAGCGUUGUCCGGAAUUAUUGGGCGUAAAGGGCUCGUAGGCGGUUUGUCGCGUCGGGAGUGAAAACCCCAGGCUUAACUUGGGGCGUGCUUUCGAUACGGGCAGACUUGAGGUAUGCGAGGGGAGAACGGAAUUCCUGGUGUAGCGGUGAAAUGCGCAGAUAUCAGGAGGAACACCGGUGGCGAAGGCGGUUCUCUGGGCAUGACCUGACGCUGAGGAGCGAAAGUGUGGGGAGCAAACAGG